rnacentral:rRNA from 1 species
UGGCAGUCACGGGUAACGGAGAAUAGGGUUCGAUUCCGGAGAGGGAGCCUGAGAAAACGGCUACCACAUCUACGGAAGGCAGCAGGCGCGUAAAUUACCCAAUCCUGAUUCAGGGAGGUAGUGACAAGAAAUAACAACUCGGGGGCCUCACGGCUUACGAGAUUGCAAUGAGAACAAUUUAAAUCUCUUAAGCGAGGAACAAUUGGAGGGCAAGUCUGGUGCCAGCAGCCGCGGUAAUUCCAGCUCCAAUAGCGUAUAUUAAAAGUUGUUGCAGUUAAAAAGCUCGUAGUUGAAUUUCUGAUUAUGGAUGUAGCGGUUUCCGUUACAUUUGUAGUCAUCCACAUGAGAACCUUUCUCGGCCUUCACUGGUCGGUUGGGGGAUCAUGUACUUUACUUUGAAAAAAUCAGAGUGUUUCAGGCAGGCGUUUGCAUGAAUACACAAGCAUGGAAUAAUGGAAUAGGACUAGGGUCCAUUUUAUUGGUUAUUGGACCAUAGUAAUGAUUAAUAGGGAC